CUUUGUUCGAUUUAAAUUUAUACCUUUUUCGUUUUCUCGUAAUUUACACUUUACGUAGUUUAACAAGUAUACUUAAUUCGCCUAAAAAGUUAUACUGUGUUAAAAUAACGCGAGAUUAUUUAAUCCAGUGUAUUUAACCACGGCGAAGGAAACAUAUUUUUUUUUUGUUACGGGCCAACAACAGUUUUCCACCAGCAAAAAGUUGAAAAUCUAAAUUUUCUGCAACGAUUUCACGACGAAUUUUCAAAAAUAAAUGUUUCAGGCUGCAUCAAGAAUAACCUAAGGAGUUGGCAGUGCUGUGCAAAGAUUUGCUGUGCUGGAUGUCCGUAAAAAUGUACUACCACAGGCAGAUCGGGCAACGCUCAGUAUGGCGCCCAGAACAGCAAGUCACAGAGUGUCGCCGGAAACAUUCUGCCUUAUACGUGGAUCAAAGUGGAUUCCGUUUCACAAAGAAUGUUCAGAGCCAGAGAGCGGAGAGGUCUUAAUUAAUUGUAUGUAUUUCACUGAAUAAAACUUAACUGAUUGUUUCAUUU